GACGAACGCUGGCGGCGUGCUUAACACAUGCAAGUCGAACGAUGAAGCCGGAGCUUGCUCUGGUGAAUUAGUGGCGAACGGGUGAGUAACACGUGAGUAACCUGCCCUUGACUCUGGGAUAACUGCUAGAAAUGGUAGCUAAUACCGGAUACGACCCUCGGAGGCAUCUUCAGGGGGUGGAAAGAAUUUCGGUCAAGGAUGGACUCGCGGCCUAUCAGCGAGUUGGUGAGGUAACGGCUCACCAAGGCGACGACGGGUAGCCGGCCUGAGAGGGUGACCGGCCACACUGGGACUGAGACACGGCCCAGACUCCUACGGGAGGCAGCAGUGGGGAAUAUUGCACAAUGGGCGCAAGCCUGAUGCAGCAACGCCGCGUGAGGGAUGACGGCCUUCGGGUUGUAAACCUCUUUUUUCGGGGACGAUAAUGACGGUACCCGAAGAAUAAGCCACGGCUAACUACGUGCCAGCAGCCGCUGUAA
rnacentral:rRNA from 1 species